AGCAACGUUAUUGUUUUGGCUUCUUAGGUAUAUAUUAUCAUAAGUCCGACUUACUAGAAAUAUAGCGUUCUCUCCUGAAAAGUGGUAACAAACCAUAUCGUACACGACAUAAAGAAGUAGCAAUCUUCAAAGUUCAAACUGAGUCGACUGGCUCUCAACUGCUUUUAUCGUUUAUCAUAGUUCUAAUAUAAACGUCUAUCAUGUUUGGAAAUGUAAGAGUUCUUUAAUUCGAAGGAGGAGUGACUUUCGAUGGAGGAGGAAUUUGCUACGUAUUUGCUAAGAAAACUAUUAGAUAAAAAUAUUUUUAACAGAAAACAUUUUAUGAGUUAAAAAAUGUUUUAACUCAUAAAACGGGUUUAAUUUCUCGCCUCGAAAUGAAAGUGUAAACGACUAGCAUUAAAACUUAUAUAGUUAUCAGUCAUAGGGUUCGUUGUUACCCCCUUUUCAUGUCUUUUGAAUGGAAUUAUUUUUACAGCGAGAUUAUUAUAUGGGAGUAACUAUGUAUUUACGUGUCGUGAUUCGUCUUCGUUCUUUCCGUGACGUGUAUGAUAGAGAAAGAUGCGCAGAAGGGAUGCAAGUGAGGUAGAACGUAAGAGAGAGGGAGAGUUAGGUAGAAAGAUAGAUAGAAAGAGAGAGAGAUAGAGGGAGAGAAAAGUUCUUUUUCGAUAAAUCUGUCGUUGACCUCAUAUUUUAGCUACCUGAUGCUAACCACAGCAUAGAAAGAUCUAUGAAAAACUAUUGCAGUUCAGAAUGUUACUCAAGUAACCGCUCAGGUGCAGAAUGAAAAGUUUUCGGCUGCUGACAAUACUUUAGCCCUUAUAUCGGAUGAAUGGGAGUAAAUGCGAAUAUCAGAAGUAGAGAUUUAUAUUUUAUAAAUCAUCAUCCACUACUUCAUGGAUCAAUUCUUGAAUCCCAAAUAUAUCUCAGUGUGCUCCGUCAUUCGGUGGGUUAUUGUCACAAAUUUGACUUCAACAACCCAUGACAGAUGAUAUAUAAUACUUAACAUGAAAGAUUGUUAGGUAUAGUUUGUUGACAAAAAAUUACGUUUUUAAUCGUUACAAAUGAAACGUAAAUGUUUGCAGCAACAUUAACAGAUUAUACGUCCGGUUAGAUUUCUUUAAAUGAUCUUUUUUAAUCAAUCAAAAUUACAUCGAGUAUAGUAACGCAACUCCAUACGUUUUACGUUUCAUGUAACAAGAACUGAUGCUUCGAAAAAGUACUAUUAUGGAUCCCAUUUAUAACGGAAACCAGUGAACAACACGCAUAUCGGGAAAGUGCUCAUAGCGAUUAGUGUCUUGACUCGAUUUAUGUUAUCGCAUAUUCUGAAAGAUUUUCUAGAGAAUAUCGACGAUAACAUGGAUAAUACCAUGUGUUAAAUGUACCAUAUAACCAGUAUUUUAUGUUUCUAUCUUCAACAUUAUUCGAAGCACUAUUUUUCAAUGUUCAAUACGUUUUUUCUAAAUGACGAUAUAAUCUUCCGAUCUCACUACACUUAACGACAAUAUCGAUUCGACGAACGAUUAUGUAUCAUCGCAAUAAGUUUCAGCUCAUCGAAUACUCCAGUUGUUGACAUUUCUACAAUAUUCCGUUGGUCCUAAUACUAUGAAAUCUGAAAACGUACUGACAUGAUUCUAAAUAUUAAUUUGUUCGUAUACGAAUAUUAUGCUCUUUUUUUAUUUCCGAUAGAUGGAAGAUCUUAGAAUUUUUCUUCUGUUCACAACCAUAUCCUGCAAUUCGAGCAUAGAAAAAUUUAAUAUGAACACAUAUGAACACAUUCAUUCUAUUACUGUGUUAAGAUUUUAUUGUUGUUGAUUCACACGGAAAAAUACCGCGAGAUUUUCUCGCUCGUAAAGAAGAUGCGUCACCGAGAGGCGAGAGAAUUUCACAGUUCUCGUAAUUUCGUCAGAGUCGUAAGAUAAACAGUAAACUCGACAUGGAAGUACGUGAUAUCGCAAAUCUCGAAGCGUCUAGUAACGAAAACGUGAUGAUAGGAUCAACGACAAGACUCCAAAUGCGAUACCAACGAACAGUGCGAGAAGGCUACUGUUUUUCUUCAAUGAUACGACUAGCGAUACCAAGACGCGCUACACGUUUUUAUACUAUUGUAUUUGCGUAAUGUAUUUGAAAUAUCAUACCUUCCCGCUAAUUCUUUUUAAAUAAAUUACAUUAAAU